rnacentral:rRNA from 1 species
AUUGAACGCUGGCGGCAUGCCUUACACAUGCAAGUCGAACGGCAGCACGGGGGCAACCCUGGUGGCGAGUGGCGAACGGGUGAGUAAUGCAUCGGAACGUGCCCAGUAGUGGGGGAUAACCCGGCGAAAGCCGGGCUAAUACCGCAUACGACCUGCGGGUGAAAGCGGGGGACUUGGUGGCAACACCGGGCCUCGCGCUAUUGGAGCGGCCGAUGUCUGAUUAGCUAGUUGGCGGGGUAAAGGCCCACCAAGGCGACGAUCAGUAGCUGGUCUGAGAGGACGACCAGCCACACUGGGACUGAGACACGGCCCAGACUCCUACGGGAGGCAGCAGUGGGGAAUUUUGGACAAUGGGCGCAAGCCUGAUCCAGCCAUGCCGCGUGCGGGAAGAAGGCCUUCGGGUUGUAAACCGCUUUUGGCAGGAACGAAACGGCGCAAGCCAAUACCUUGCGCUAAUGACGGUACCUGCAGAAUAAGCACCGGCUAACUACGUGCCAGCAGCCGCCGUAACAC